rnacentral:rRNA from 1 species
CCCUUAGAUGUUCUGGGCCGCACGCGUGCUACACUGAUGCAUUCAACGAGUCUAAAACCUGGUCUGAUAGGGCUGGGUAAUCUUUUGAAAGUGCAUCGUGAUUGGGAUAGAUGAUUGCAAUUCUUCAUCUUCAACGAGGAAUGCCUAGUAAACGCAAGUCAUCAGCUUGCAUUGAUUACGUCCCUGCCCUUUGUACACACCGCCCGUCGCUACUACCGAUUGAACGUUUUAGUGAGCUCCUCGGAUUGUCAGCCUGGCGGUUAAUCCUGCCUGGCUAGCGAAAAGACGAGCAAACUUGAGCGUUUAGAGGAAGUAAAAGUCGUAACA